rnacentral:lncRNA from 1 species
CACGCGCACACACACGCACACGCCCGCGCACACACUCUCUCACACACACACAGAGAUUGGAGAGAGACAGGAGAGAGACAUGUUUUCAUCUAUCCUUUGUGGACUUCUGUUGUUUUUACUGCUGUGAAAUUUGACUUGCGAUAUCUGCUUGUAAAACAUCAUCAAAUCCAAAUUCAUUAUAUUCCACUUUUUCUAUUACAUGGUUUCUGCUUCACUGAUUCAUAUCUGUUUUACCUAUUCUGUAAGGGAGGAGAAGCUGCAAAGCAAUGAAGAGAAAAGCUGAAGUCAGUGAUUAGGAGUGUCUGUGUAAGUAAAAGCAACAGGCAAUUACUGAGUGUGGUGUGAGAGGCACGGAAAGAUUGGGAAUUCAGCAAGAAGAGGAAUUGAAGUCAAACCUCACCUACUUCCCAGAGUCUUCUGGAUUUUCUGUUAGAAGCUUCAGUAUCUGAGAUAUUCCUAUGCAUUCUACUGCUUUAAUCCCACCUAAGUAGAGAUGUCCACAACAGAGAGAAUGGAGCUGUCACAUCGUUUCAACUGCCCAGGAAAGGACUCAGGCAACAAAUAAACAGCUAAGAUUUUACUAGAGUAUGAAAGGGAGAGCACUGGAGUGCAGUGCGGGGAUGGAGAUGCAGCUGUGGUGGCUGGAAGUACAGGAGGGCAGCUGGAGGCACCUGGCCUCUGAAGCCUGUCUUCUUCAUCUGGGUGAGAUCUGCUGGAGUCAGGAAGGACUUCCUGCUGCAAGGAUAAAGGUGAAGUGUGGUGGCGUAAUCAUGACUCACUGCAGCCUCGAACUCCGGGACUCAAGCUAAUCUCUUUCCUCAGCCUUCCCAGCAGCUGGGACUACAGAAUCCCACCCAUCCUAAGGCAUUACAUUUAGUCAUCAUAGCUCUUUCUUCACAGAAUUAGAAAAAACUACUUUAAAUUUCAUAUGGAACCAAAAAAGAGCCCAUAUAGCCAAGAAAAUCUUAAGCAAAAAGAACAAAGAUGGAGGCAUCAUGCUAACUGACUUCAAACUAUACUACAAGGCUACAGUAACCAAAACAGCAUGGUACUGGUGCCAAAACAGAUAUAUAGACCAAUGGAAUAGAACAGAGGCCUCAGAAAAACGUCACCCAUCUACAACCAUCUGAUCUUCAACAAAUCUGACAAAAACAAAUAAUGGGGAAGAAAUUCUGUAUUUAAUAAAUGAUCUUGGGAAAACUGGCUAGCCACAUGCAGAAAACUGAAGCUGGGCUCCUUCCUUACACCUUAUACAAAAAUUAACUCAAGAUGGAUUAAAGACUUAAACGUAAGACCUAAAACCAUAGAAACCCUAGAAGAAUACCUAGGCAAUACCAUUGAGGACACAGACAUGGGCAAAUGACUAAAGCAACAAAAGCCAAAAUUGACAAAUGGGAGCUAAUUAAACUAAAGAGCUUCUGAACAGCAAAAGAAACUAUCAUCAGAGUGAACAGGCAACCUACAGAAUGGGAGAAAAUUUUUGCAAUCUAUCCACCUGACAAAGGGCUAAUAUCCAGAAUCUACAAAUAACUUAAACAAAUUUACAAGAAAAAAAACAAACAACCCCAUCAAGAAGUGGGUGAAGGAUAUGAAAAGACACUUCUCAAAAGAAGACAUUUAUGUGGCCAACAAACAUGAAAAAAAGCUCAUCAUCACUGGGCAUUAGAGAAAUGCAAAUCAAAACCACAAUGAGAUACCAUCUCACGCCAGUUAGAAUGGCGAUCUUUAAAAAGUCAGGAAACAACAGAUGCUGGAGAGGAUGUGGAGAGAUAGGAAUGCUUUUACACUGUUGGUAGGAGUGUAAAUUAGUUCAGCAAUUGUGGAAGACUGUGUGGAGAUUCCUCAAGGAUCUAGAACCAGAAAUGCCAUUUGACCGAGCAAUCCCAUUACUGGCUAUAUACCCAAAGGAUUAUAAAUCAUUCUACUAUAGAGACACAUCCACCUGUAUGUUGAUUGCAGCACUGUUCACAAUAGCAAAGACUUGGAACCAAUGCAAAUGCCCAUCAAUGAUCGGCUGGAUAAAGAAAAUGUGGCACAUAUACACCGUGAAAUACUAUGUAGCCAUAAAAAAGGAUGAGUUCAUGUCCUUUGCAGGGAUAUGGAUGAAGCUGGAAACCAUCAUUCUCUGCAAACUAAUACAGGAACAGAAUGCCAAACACCACAUGUUCUCACUCAUAAGUGGGAGUUGAACAAUGAGAACACAUGAAUACCGGGAGGGAACAUCACACACCAGGGCCUGUCAGAGGGUCGGGGGCUAGGGAAGGGAUAGCAUUAGGAGAAAUACCUAAUGUAGAUUAUGGGUUGAUGGGUGCAGCAAACCACCAUGGCACAUGUAUAGCUAUGUAACAAACCUGCACGUUCUACACAUGUAUCCCAGAACUUAAAGCAUAAGUAAAAUAAAAAAAUAAUUAAAUGAGGAAGAAGAGUCAAAUUUUUGUGCAGAAAAAUUUGAAAGAAUUUAUGUAGAUACUACUUCCUCAAUGAGGAAGAGCAUAACUCUAUGCUCUUUAAGUCGGACAUGAACAUACUCAUUUCUUUCAAAAGAGUACAAUAUGAAAAGAGGGAAAAAGAAUAACUGUACAGUAAAGAAACCUGACAAUUGCUACCUUGGCCAAGUGACCCAGGUCAACAUCAACAGUGAUAGUGACGUUUAUGUCAUGUCCACUUGAAAUGAUGUGAUUAAAAAAAGGCACUUUACCUCUGUGUUCUUCUUCCUAUUCCCAUAAUUCCAGACUAAUUAUUUAAAAAUUUUCAUAUGUAUUCCAAUUAAAGAACAUUCUAAAAAAUACCCAACUGGUAAUUCUCAAAACUGCCUAGGUCAUCGAAACAAGCAAAAUUUGAGAAACUGUUACAUUUAUGGAUUUUUAAAUAUUGAAACAAAUCUCAUAUUUCUGGGAUGAAAUCUACUUCAUUAUGAAGCAUUAUCCUUUUAAAUAUAUUGCUUGAAUUAAUUUGCUAAAAUACUGUGUAGGAUUUUGCAUCUAUACUAAUGAGAGAUAGUGAUCUUUAGUUUUCUUUUUUCUUUUGUUUUGUUUUCUGAAACAGAGUCUUCUUGCUCUAUCGCCCAGGCUGGAGUGCAGUAGCAUGAUCAUAGCUCACUGCUGCCUCAAACUGAAGCAAUUAAAGACUGCUCAAGUAAUCCUCC